rnacentral:lncRNA from 10 species
UCCACCUGCCUUUGUCUCCCAAAGUGCUGGGAUUACAGGCAUGAGUGACGGUGCCCAGCCAUUCAUGACGUGUUUAUACAAAUAUAACUUUAGCAAACAUUUAGCAUAACUAUCAAAAUUACAAAUCAUAUUAAAUUUGUAUAAAUGUAUGCAAUUUUUGGAACACGUAUAUCAACAACAUACCCAUAAAUAUAACUGAGAUGAGAUCUAAUGUCACCUCACUUGACAGUGCCCUCCCAUGCAGUAUCGCCACAUUUGACAAUGCCUGCCCAUUUAAUCUACCAAAUAAAUCGAAUCACUUAAUACCUCUACAAGAUGAGAGAUACAUUCUUUAGACUCCCCAAGGGAUGCAGCUGAAAAAAUCCCAAAGUUAGUUUUAAGCCAAAAAGACUUGAUUUAGGAUUUUGACACUGGAGAAACCCAUCAAAGACGUCAAGUUUGAAAACACUUGAUCAAAACAGAAUCACAGGUCACUAUUAAAAGAGUAUUAAUUUAACCAGAGACUUCCAAAGCAAUACAGAAACUUACAUGGAUAUAAAAACCUUAACCCUUUUAAAGGUCAGAUUUGCUAAGUGAUCAAAAGGGGUACUUGAAUUGAAUCGACACAGGAAGAGUGUGUACAGGGUUAUGAGUGUAGGCAGAUGGUUACUUUGGUCAUAUCUCCAUUUGCCACCUGAUUACACAUGAGAAUGCCAUCUUUACUCACCAGAAAGCCAGUAUUAUAGGAGGUGUAGGAGGCAUUCUUGGACUUGAAACAAGAACAUUGUUGUGUAGAAAUUUCAUUGACUGUGUUAAAAUUAUUCUCCAUGGGCUGGAGAACACAUAACAUGGCCUUUAGAAUGAGACGGGCAUUGAUUGGAUGCAAGGUCUCCACACUUACUAGCCGUGUGACAUUGGACAGAGUGCUUCAUCAUUCCGAGACUCAGUUUUUAAAGGAAAAACAACUAACUACCUUGCAAGCUUGCUAGCAGGUUUAAGUGUAAUAAUGUGUGGG